UACGUAGGCAGCAAGCGUUGUUCGGAAUUACUGGGCGUAAAGAGUGUGUAGGCGGUGCUCUAAGUUCGGUGUGAAAUCUCCCGGCUCAACUGGGAGGGUGCGCCGGAAACUGGGGUGCUGGAGCGCGGGAGAGGAAAGCGGAAUUCCUGGUGUAGCGGUGAAAUGCGUAGAUAUCAGGAGGAACACCGGCGGUGUAGACGGCUUCUUG
rnacentral:rRNA from 1 species